rnacentral:rRNA from 1 species
GACGAACGCUGGCGGCGCGCUUAACACAUGCAAGUCGAACGGAAAGGCCUGCUUUCCCUUGUGGAUUGCGGGUACUCGAGUGGCGAACGGGUGAGUAACACGUGAGUGAUCUGCCCCCAACUUGGGUAUAAGCCUGGGAAACUGGGUCUAAUUCCCGAUAGGACUGCAGGGUGGUGCCUGUGGUGGAAAACGAUUUUCUAGUGGUUGGGGAUGAGCUCGCGGCCUAUCAGCUUGUUGGUGGGGUAAUGGCCUACCAAGGCGGCGACGGGUAGCCGGCCUGAGAGGGUGGACGGCCACAUUGGGACUGAGAUACGGCCCAGACGCCUACGGGAGGCAGCAGUGAGGAAUAUUGCACAAUGGGCGGAAGCCUGAUGCAGCGACGCCGCGUGGGGGAUGACGGCCUUCGGGUUGUAAACUCCUUUCGACCGCGAGGAAGCCACCUGGUUGGAAGGGUGGUGACGGUAGUGGUAGAAGAAGCACCGGCUAACUACGUG